UACGUAGGGCGCAAGCGUUGUCCGGAAUUAUUGGGCGUAAAGGGCGCGUAGGCGGUGCGGUAAGUCACCUGUGAAAUCUCCUGGCUCAACUGGGAGCUUGCAGGCGAAACUGCCGUGCUGGAGUGUGGGAGAGGUGCGUGGAAUUCCUGGUGUAGCGGUGAAAUGCGUAGAUAUCAGGAGGAACACCUGUGGCGAAAGCGGCGCACUGGACCACAACUGACGCUGAGGCGCGAAAGCGAGGGGAGCAAACAGG
rnacentral:rRNA from 1 species